rnacentral:lncRNA from 1 species
UCCUCAGCUCCUCUCGCUUCAGCCCAUCAAAAGGGCUCAUGGCCACCCUGCCAUUUGUAAGUCAAAGACCAGGACCAAAUUAAACUCGAGAGGGCACAGCAUCCAGCACCUGUGCUGGGAUCCCUGGGGCAGAGAGGAGAAACCAGAGAGAGUCUACGUGGUCUCCUCAGGUGGCAGGGCAGACACUGGCAGGCGGAUCAGGAACUCUCAUUCAUUGCUGUUGGGAAUGCAAAAUGGAGCAGCCACUUUGGAAGACAGUUUGGCAGUUUCUGACACAAGCUAAACAUACUCUUGCUAUACGAUCCAGCAAUCAUGCUCCCAGCCCCACAGGACCUCCAGCCUUUGUCUUCUUAAGGAGGGGAAGAGCAUCUUCAGCCAGCAGACAGGAAGGUGGGAUGCACUCGCCAUGUAUCUCCUGAGCCCCUGCUGGACACCGGACAGGCUGGUGGACUGCCCGCGACCUCUUUCAUCAGCACCCCCAAGAAUGGAAAGUGGAAGAAUGUCCUCAAGCUAGCAAGGACCUGGGCAAAGGGAAUCCAGAAUUACCUGUGUAUCCACCUUAGGGCUGUGAGGGGCGAGGAGGUGGCCCAUGGUAGGCAGGGAGCUGAGCAUUUUCACGUGCUCUUCACAGGUUUCUCCCCAUGGCCCCAGGGGCUGGGUCUCUCAUCAUGCCCAUUUUCAAGGUCACAGUGAUCACCUGCCUGAAAUUAUACAGUGAGAAAGGGGUUGGGCAGAAAAUCCAUGCUCCUUGUCAUUACAGGCAGUACCAAGCAAGACCAACAACACUGCCUGUGCUGACAGGAGCAUCUUGACCUCAAAGAAGCAGAAACAUGAAGGGUCUCACUUGGGCUGCUACCGCUGCUAACGUCACAUACUAACCCUACCACGUCAAAGGCAGAGAGUGAUGACUGAUUCUUGCCAUCUGCCUGUUUAGUUACAGAAAACUUUCCCAAACGCCACCCGCCUCCUAUAGCAGGCACCCUCUAAGGCCCUCUUGGCCAGAACUGGGUCAAGUGCCCUCCUCACCCCCAACCAAUCCUAGCAAAGUGGAAGGGAAGGACCAUGUUCGAGUUCCUCCCAGCACAAUUCAUU